rnacentral:rRNA from 1 species
GACGUAGGGUGCAAGCGUUAUCCGGAAUUAUUGGGCGUAAAGAGCUCGUAGGCGGUUUGUCGCGUCUGCUGUGAAAACUGGAGGCUCAACCUCCAGCCUGCAGUGGGUACGGGCAGACUAGAGUGCGGUAGGGGAGAUUGGAAUUCCUGGUGUAGCGGUGGAAUGCGCAGAUAUCAGGAGGAACACCGAUGGCGAAGGCAGAUCUCUGGGCCGUAACUGACGCUGAGGAGCGAAAGCGUGGGGAGCGAACAGG